CCCCUAGAGGAGCCUGUUCUAUAAUCGAUAAUCCACGAUCUACCUCACCAUCUCUUGCCAAUACCGCCUAUAUACCGCCGUCACCAGCCUACCCUAUGAAGGAUAUAAAAGUAGGCAAAAUCGCACAACAGCUAACAAGUCAGGUCAAGGUGUAGCUUACUGAGAUGGAAGAAAUGGGCUACAUUUUCUAAACUAGAAAUCAUUUCACGGAAAGAACUAUGAAACAAGUCCUAUAAGCAGGAUUUAGCAGUUAAUAGGGAUCAGAAUGCCCAAUUUAAGCCGGUCCUAAGGUACGC
rnacentral:rRNA from 1 species